AUUGAACGCUGGCGGCAGGCCUAACACAUGCAAUUCGAACGGUAACAGGAAACAGCUUGCUGUUUCGCUGACGAGUGGCGGACGGGUGAGUAAUGCCUGGGAAACUGCCUGAUGGAGGGGGAUAACUACUGGAAACGGUAGCUAAUACCGCAUAACGUCGCAAGACCAAAUAGGGGGCCCUUCGGGCCUAUUGCCAUCGGAUGUGCCCAGAUGGGUUUAGCUAGUAGGUUGGGUAACGGCUCACCUAGGAGCAGAUCCCUAGCUGGUCUGAGUGGAUGACCAGCCACACUGGACAGGAAACAAGGUCGAUACUCCUACGGGAGGCAGCCGUUGCGAAUAUUGCACAAUGGGCGCAAGCCUGAUGCAGCAAUGUGGUGUGUAUGAAAAAGGCCUUUGGGUUGUAAAGUACUUUCAGCGGGGAGGAAUAGAGUAAAGUUAAUACCUUGGCUCAUUGACGUUACCCGCAGAAGAAGCACCGGCUAACUCCGUGCCAGCAGCCGCCGUAA
rnacentral:rRNA from 1 species